ACGAACGCUGGCGGCGUGCUUAACACAUGCAAGUCGAACGGUGAAGGGAUCAGCUUGCUGGUUCUGGAUGAGUGGCGAACGGGUGAGUAACACGUGAGUAACCUGCCCCCUUCUUCUGGAUAACCGCAUGAAAGUGUGGCUAAUACGGGAUAUUCUGCGCCUGCUGCAUGGUGGGUGUGGGAAAGAUAUUGUUUCGGUGGGGGAUGGGCUCGCGGCCUAUCAGCUUGUUGGUGGGGUGAUGGCCUACCAAGGCGGUGACGGGUAGCCGGCCUGAGAGGGUGGACGGUCACACUGGGACUGAGACACGGCCCAGACUCCUACGGGAGGCAGCAGUGGGGAAUAUGGCACAAGGGGCGCAAGCCUGAUGCAGCGACGCCGCGUGAGGGAUGGAGGCCUUCGGGUUGUGAACCUCUUUCGCCAGUGAAGCAGGCCUGUCCCUUGUGGGUGGGUUGACGGUAGCUGGAUAAGAAGCGCCGGCUAACUACGUG
rnacentral:rRNA from 1 species